AUGCAGUCGAGCGGGGGAGAUUGCUUCGGUAAUUGACCUAGCGGCGGACGGGUGAGUAAUACUUAGGAAUCUGCCUAUUAAUGGGGGACAACAUCUCGAAAGGGAUGCUAAUACCGCAUACGCCCUACGGGGGAAAGCAGGGGAUCACUUGUGACCUUGCGUUAAUAGAUGAGCCUAAGUCGGAUUAGCUAGUUGGUGGGGUAAAGGCCUACCAAGGCGACGAUCUGUAGCGGGUCUGAGAGGAUGAUCCGCCACACUGGGACUGAGACACGGCCCAGACUCCUACGGGAGGCAGCAGUGGGGAAUAUUGGACAAUGGGGGGAACCCUGAUCCAGCCAUGCCGCGUGUGUGAAGAAGGCCUUAUGGUUGUAAAGCACUUUAAGCGAGGAGGAGGCUCCUGUAGUUAAUACCUACAGUGAGUGGACGUUACUCGCAGAAUAAGCACCGGCUAACUCUGUGCCAGCAGCCGCGGUAAUACAGAGGGUGCGAGCGUUAAUCGGAUUUACUGGGCGUAAAGCGUGCGUAGGCGGCUUUUUAAGUCGGAUGUGAAAUCCCCGAGCUUAACUUGGGAAUUGCAUUCGAUACUGGGAAGCUAGAGUAUGGGAGAGGAUGGUAGAAUUCCAGGUGUAGCGGUGAAAUGCGUAGAGAUCUGGAGGAAUACCGAUGGCGAAGCAGCCAUCUGGGCCUAAUACUGACGCUGAGUACGAAAGCAUGGGGAGCAAACAGAUUAG
rnacentral:rRNA from 1 species